rnacentral:miRNA from 1 species
CGGUGGUAGAUUCUGCGAAGUACG